GUUCGAAUUAUAGCUUAUUAAGCAUUUUAUUUACAUUAAAAAGAUAUUUGUUAAAUCAAUUUAAUUUGAAUUUAA
rnacentral:tRNA from 1 species